rnacentral:lncRNA from 1 species
GCGUCGUGAUGGGGACACCACGGGGACAUCCUGGGACAGCCUGGCAGAGCAGCGGCUGCAGAGUUCAUCCCUGUGCUGUCCCAGCCCUUCAUCUGUGCCAAAUCCCGUCCCCAUCAUGCCAAAUCCUGUCAUCACUGUGCCAAACUGUCACCAGCAUGCCAAACUCUGUCCCCAUCGUGCCAAACUGUCCCCAUCGUGCCAAACCCUCUGUCCCCAUCCAGCCCAUAAUCGCCACGGGCCCACCUGAGAGGGGCGGGGACCUGCCCUCAUCCCUCUGCUCCAUAUUCAUGAGCCCCUUCCUCCUCCUCCUCCUCCUCCUCCUCCUCCUCCUCGCCCGGCCCUCCCGCUGUCCCGGAGCGCUGCCGGCGCUCGGUGCCCGCCGCGCUCGGUGCCAGCCCGGCUCGCCCUGGCCCGUGCCCCCCCCGUGGGGUCACAGCUCUGGCUCCUGCUCCAAGCCUGCUGCCUCUGCCUGGCCCAGCUCCGAGGGCCACCAGGAGAGCCUGGCCCACGAGGGCCCCCUGGUCCCCCAGGAGUGCCAGGAGCUGAUGGCAUCGAUGGUGACAAAGGCCCUGUAGGAUCUGCCGGCUCCCCGGGUGUCAAGGGCGAGCCCGGAGCUCCUGGCCCGGAUGGACCGCCAGGGAAGCCUGGCAUUGAUGGCCUGACAGGAGCCAAAGGGGAGCCAGGACCCACAGGCAGGCCAGGAACCAAAGUGAGUGAGGGGCAGCCCCGGGCUCCUCAUUCCCAGGAUCCCUCAUUCCCAAAUUCCCACCUUCCCAAAUUCCCACCUUCCCAAAUCUCCACCUUCCAGAAUUUCUAUCUUCCCAAGCUCUCUCAUUCCCAGGCUCCCACCUUCCCAAAUUCCAACGUUUCCAAAUUCCCACCUUCCCAAAUUCCCAAGCUCCCUCAUUCCCAUGCUCCCACCUUUCCAAGUUCCCACCUUCCCAAAUUCCCAUCUUCCCAGUUUUCCACCUUUCCAAGGAUCCCACCUUCCCAAUUUCCAACCUUCCCAAAUUUCCACCUUACCAAUUUCCCACCUUUCCAAAUUCCUACUGUUCCAAGGAUCCCACCUUCCCAAGUUUCCACCUUUUCAAGGAUUCCACCUGCCCAAAUUUCCAACCUUCCCCAAUUCCCACUUUCCCAAGCUUCCUCAUUCCCAGGCUCCCACCUUCUCAGGCUCCCAUGUUCCCAAAUUUCCACCUUUUCAAGGAUUCCACCUUCCCAAAUUUCCAACUUUCCAAGGCUCCCGCCUUCCCAAAUUACCACAUUUCCAAUUUCCUAUCUUUCCAAGUUCCCAAAUUCCCAGUCUCCCCCCUUCCCCCAGCCCCAUCCUGGGGCCAUCCCCACCACUCUGGAAGGGACCCGUGGAUGCAGGAGCUGCCUGAUGGAAUUUUUGGCCCUGAAGCUGCAUCUGGGGAGGGGGAAUUGGAGCAGCUGCCGGAGCAGAUCCUCCUUUUCCAGCUCCUGACUCUCCUCUUGUGUCCUGGCAGGGCCAGCCCGGACUCCCAGGGCCACCAGGGCUCCCUGUGAGUAUCUGCUGCUCCCAUGGGUGGGGUGGGCACCCCCCAAGUGCCCCCUGUUCCACCCUUGGUGGUGGGGUGGGAAUUGCCCUCCUUG